CUCCGCCUGGGGAGUACGACCGCAAGGUUGAAACUCAAAGGAAUUGACGGGGGCCCGCACAAGCGGUGGAGCAUGUGGUUUAAUUCGAAGCUACGCGAAGAACCUUACCAGGUCUUGACAUCUUGCGCCAACCCUAGAGAUAGGGCGUUUCCUUCGGGAACGCAAUGACAGGUGGUGCAUGGUCGUCGUCAGCUCGUGUCGUGAGAUGUUGGGUUAAGUCCCGCAACGAGCGCAACCCUUGUUACUAGUUGCCAGCAUUAAGUUGGGCACUCUAGUGAGACUGCCGGUGACAAACCGGAGGAAGGUGGGGACGACGUCAGAUCAUCAUGCCCCUUAUGACCUGGGCUACACACGUGCUACAAUGGACGGUACAACGAGUCGCGAACUCGCGAGGGCAAGCAAAUCUCUUAAAACCGUUCUCAGUUCGGACUGCAGGCUGCAACUCGCCUGCACGAAGUCGGAAUCGCUAGUAAUCGCGGAUCAGCAUGCCGCGGUGAAUACGUUCCCGGGCCUUGUACACACCGCCCGUCACACCAUGAGAGUUUGUAACACCCAAAGUCGGUGG
rnacentral:rRNA from 2 species